rnacentral:rRNA from 1 species
UGGGGAAUUGUUCACAAUGGGCGCAAGCCUGAUCCAGCCAUGCCGCGUGAGUGAAGAAGGCCUUCGGGUUGUAAAGCUCUUUUACCAGGGACGAUAAUGACGGUACCUGGAGAAUAAGCCCCGGCAAACUUCGUGCCAGCAGCCGCGGUAAUACGAAGGGGGCUAGCGUUGUUCGGAAUUACUGGGCGUAAAGCGCACGUAGGCGGAUUGUUAAGUCAGAGGUGAAAUCCCGGAGCUCAACUUCGGAACUGCCUUUGAUACUGGCAAUCUAGAGUCCGGAAGAGGUUAGUGGAAUUCCCAGUGUAGAGGUGAAAUUCGUAGAUAUUGGGAAGAACACCAGUGGCGAAGGCGGCUAACUGGUCCGGUACUGACGCUGAGGUGCGAAAGCGUGGGGAGCAAACAGGAUUAGAUACCCCAGUAGUCCCUGAGCGGGCUGGCAAGGCGCAU